AAGAAAAGCCCAUGUUCUUGGUGUUGCACACGAGGCAUUUCUUUUUUUCCUUCCUUUUGCAGUUUUUCUUUUUCCAAAAUCCCAUCUCAACAACAACAAAA
rnacentral:ribozyme from 1 species